rnacentral:piRNA from 8 species
GCCCGGAUAGCUCAGUCGGUAGAGCAUCAGAC